AUUUGGCAAAGUUAGUUUGCGUGAGCGUCAGCAGGGCUCUGUUGAUUUAAUCAGCGCCACACUGUUUACGUUGUUUUUUGCAAGCACUUACAACACUAGUACAACGAGGGAGAUUCUUCAUGUAAAACUGAAUUAAGGACAGAGGGAAUAAUGUCAUGUCGCUGUUGCGUAACUCAAACUUGUGUUAUCAUGAUUUCUAGUAUGUUAUUUUCAUCUUAAUGUUCUAUUAAAGUAAUUUACGUAACGUUCUGUUAAAGUAUUGAAUUUAAAUGUUUGCACAUGAAGGUCAUGUGUGUAAACUACAUAGGUUGAGCUGUGAACUAAUUGAACAAAUUAUGAAACCAGGCAGGUAACGCUCCUGAUCAGUUAAAUAUAUGUGGCUUUAAAACUUACUUCAUAGCUACUUGCGCAAAUCAUCAGCGUUCUACUCUUGGCAAUUGAUACCUAUUUUGUUUGGUCAAUAAAGGAGUAGAAUUACCAAGCAACAACACUAGUUACAGGAGCUGGGUUCAGUUGAACAUCGCACUAUAAUAUAAAGCGGUAACUGUGGUUUGGGAACCGCACAGUGUUUUACGUUAAGUGCAUGGCGGAAGGUGCUGACCUUGUUCAUAAUUUUGUAAACCUGUAGUUAUAGACCUUGUGAUCGUCUUAGAAAACCGAACUUAAAACCAAAUAGGCGCUUAUCUUCUGAAUCAUCGGUGUUCCAGAAAUCAGUGGAUUCUAACAGGUAUCAAUCGAGGCACUGUUAGUACAGACUACAGAGUACAGACGCAUGUAGAAACUACACGACGUUGCGUUGAUUUCAUACAAAGUAAACUUAGAUAGUAUUCAAUAGUAAUAUAGAGUAAUUUUGAGAGAGUUUGGACAAAUCUGAGGUUGGUUAUUAUUAGAGUGUGCGCGCUUUAAAAUUAUUCCUGCGGCCGGGUAAACAUACUGCUUCAUGAAAGUCAUUCGUUACAGAAUCGUAGUAAACUCUGUUUCUAAAUUAUACUGAAGCAAUACUGAACCGCGCGCAUUUAUGGAAACUUUUCAUUGCGGUAUUACUAUACGCACAAAGCGUGGUUGGAAAUGCAAGUGUUCAAAAGAUCGUUAUAAUCAGAUGCGCAAUUUAUUCAGGGUCGUUAACAGACUUAUGUGAACAAUGUUCAGCUGCACGUUCCACUAAUUCAGUUGUGCCUGUAUUUGUGACGCGUACGCCCUGACCAUAUAUCUAGCAGGCUUUCUUCGACCAUGUCCAUGUAUAGGCGGUUGUUGUCCAUAUUUUUAUUGCAAGAAUGAUGUUCCGUCUGUUUCAGUGUUGGCUUUGCGGUAAACUGUUCUUAGCGAGAUUUCUUUGAGGUGCUCAAUGUUAUAGGCAAUGUUCUAGGCAGCCGUCGGUUAUACAAGUUUAUAGCUUCUUGAUGUGCUUCCUCGCCACGGUCAAAUUGUAACUCUUUAAUCACUUUCUCUUUUCGCUUUUGUAAACAAUGAUGUAAAGUGGCAAAUUAAAUAUUCAAUUCAAAUGUAUUUCUAAUAGCAGACUUGGUGGAACAGUGGCGUUACUGUAGAGUAGUACAGCAUUAUCGUAAUAAUGUUUCAGGCGUUCAGCAACUGACCAUAUUGUCAAAUCACAACAUUCUACUGUUACAUCAGUGAGUUCAGUGUGUAUUCACUACGGGACGUGUGUUGAAGCGUACUUUCAGUACAAAAUAAUGAGUGAAGACGGCUGUUUGUGCAACAAUGGUGUCUCUAUUGCCAGCAUUUGUGGAUUUCCUUCAGCGUUGAGACAGUAAAUGUUUGUUAACUUUAUACGAUCCUAGUUGCAAGAUCAGUUUUUGAAAUUCAUUUAAAGUAGGCUAUCACUAUUAGUUUGUUCCUUAUACUAAUGUAUUCUUGUGAUUUUUAUGCAUGUAUCUAUAUAUACCGAAACUGGUAUUUAUGUUGAUCAGUAAAUAUUAUAUUAUACUAAAGAGACCUUCAGAACUGUUGUUUGUUGACACUUGUUGCAGGGGUAUUUAGAGCAAGCAAAUUUAAAUAUGUCUCUGAGUUUACUGGCCUCUGAAUUGAAGAAUACUGAUAUAAUGAAAAGAACGAACAUAAUAUUUAUUCAGGCUCUGACAAAUGCCACUCAUUUGUUGGAUAACUCUGAGUGAUAGAGCUGCGCAUGAAAUAUAUACAUCAUCAUUAUAGCUACCUCACCUAAUGCAUAUUGGUCAGUAUAAUACACGAUAGCCUUAAGUCAAACGCACGUAUAAUCGUCAUUGCCAGAUAGUUAUGCUAAAAAUUAUAUUGGUUGGUAAACAACACAGGUUUUGAUUUUUGGCUGGGGUAUAGUUCGUCCUGAAAAACGUGUGCCUGAGAGCGCGGCUGGUCAGCGGCCCGGAAGAUCGUUCGAGCAUUUCAUUCAAACUAUCUUUAUCGUUGUAUAGAGAAAGCCACGGGCGCAGAAUGCUAAGGGAUUCCACCUACAAUUCGAUGAUCGAAGAAGCAAUUAUACCUAAAGAAGAAACUGCCUGGAACCACGACGAGGUAUGUAAACAUUUCUAAAUAUACGUUGUCCGGUUUACAACUCAUUUCUAGAAGUCACGAACUUCCCAUUUGAAUUGACUCCAUACGUCUCAAUGCUCACUAAAGUUUCUUUUAUACUGAUCUGUAUUUAAAGAAAUUUACUUUCUAUCAUAAUAUUAAGUAACGAGACCAUCUCAAACUGCGCAUUACACAUAUACAUCGCGGUAGCUUUUAUUCUACGCAAAAUAUGCAAAUUUUGUAGCCGACCGUGCGUCGCACUAUACUUGAAUAACAUACAUACAUGCGCUAUGCCACUGUCUACUGUGUGACGCAAGUGCAUGAUCUGUAUUUGAACAUUUUCCAGGUAUUUAGCAUAAUUCGCGGCAGGAAUACCAUAUAGUAGGUAGAAGUACUAGCCACAAUAGCCAAGGACAAGGUCAAUUAGUACAUGUAUGUAUGUAUGGCCGAUUACUUAUGAGAUGCGACUCGAAUUACUACGAUUUAGUAGUUAGCCGUGUUUAGUUUGGACAAUAAUCCUUCUUGAAAUCAAAUCCAUGACUCGUGAUUUUUAUUUGUAUUUGGUUAAGAGCGUUUUACAUAAUUAAACUGAUGCUGCGCAUCGCCUAGUAUGGCAUUUAUGAGUAUCCCACUGGCACAGACUAAACACAAGCCAAUGCAAUGUUUGCGCUCGUAACAAAAUACUGAAAAAUCUUGGAAACAUUUAGAUGGUAAUAUUAAAAAUAUUGACGUCCUAGAAAUCACUGACGUUCUACUUAAUAUUUAAAUCACUACUAUAUGUUGUGAUUGCCUGUUAUAUGCUGAUAACCUCGAUGAGUAAAUAUCCAUGUAUACUUUCAAUAUUGAAUAACUUGUGAACAUGCGCAAUGCGCUGUCGUAUUAUAUUGGCCUGUUCUCUUGCUUCGAUUAUCUGGUCCAUGAACUAAGAAGUACGAGUGUUAAAAUCAUUCGAACUUACUUUAAAAUGGUACCAUUAAUAUGUGAUGGUUUCGGGUUGGUUCCUAGCCUCAGAUUUGCAAACAUACUUUAAAUGUACAUCUUCGUAUUUACGAUGCAAUACGUUUGGGUAAAUAAAUAAAUUUAUAGACAAUUUGUAUAAUUACUGCAUCGUAGCAUUAUAUCAGCAUAGUCUUCAAUACUUUUCUUUAAUUACUAAAAAAAAUAUACUUGGUCACGACUGGGAAUCGAACCCAUGACAUUCGUCGCAUUUUUAGAACGAUGCUCUACUCCAUCCUUAUUGAUGCUCAAUAUUGUUUAUACUCAAUAUUGUGAUGUUAUUUCAGAAAUUGAAAAAAAACACAGAUUGAUAGCUGGCACUAGGAAAGGAAGAGAUUCUGAGUUGCCAAGCAACAUCGUUCCGAACUUGGCUGGUAGCUGAGAAAUUGGCCUUGCCAGCUCAGAUGGUAGAGCAUCGUUCUAGAAAUGCGAAGGUCGCAGGUUCCAUUCACAGCCAUGACCAAGUAGAAUUUUCUAGUGCCUGGUGUAAAUAUACUGAUCAUGUUAGGGCAUGGUUUACACCUAUAUCAAAGUUUAUGUGAUCACAGUAGGAGUUUUACAUGGGUAAGUUUUGAAUGAUUUGUAUGAAAAUUUUGAUGGAAAACCUGAUUGUUUAGUAACACUGAGUCAGUUUCCUCAAACAUUUCUUACAAAUCCUUCAAAACUUACAAUUUACCUAUGCAAAAUUUCUAUACUGUGACCACAGAACUUUGAUAGGUGUAAACCAUGCAUCUAAAGGCCUGUUUACACUUGCAAUUUUUGCUGCGAUUUCAAGUGCGAUUUUCUCCUUCUGAUGCAUGUGAACGAGCAGAUGAGUUACGAAUGUUCUGAGUACAUGUACCCCAACUGAACAUUCAUAACUUAUCCACUCGUUCACAUCCAUCAGAAGAAUAAAAUCGCAUCUAAAAUCGCCGCAAAAACUGCAAAUGCAUAUAGCGGACUUCUCAAACACUAUAAAUCUGUCUUACGAAAUGUUUACAACGCAGAGGAUCCUCGAACUUGGAAAUCUACAUGUUUGUCUUGUAAUACGUCUCGUAAUCUGUCUUGUCCCAUAUCGUGCUGUUCUUAGUUUUUUGGGGAAGAAGCAGAAUUCUCUGUCAGUCUGUGAGCUGUGUUUAAAACCAGCUUCAAUAUUAAACAACGAUUAAAAUAUAAAUAUUCUGCAUGGUAUGAAUUUAGUAAGCUUGAAUAUACAGAAAUUUGUGUAUAAGGAGAAAUUGGAGGGGUAUUCUGCUUUUAACCCCCGAUAUUUUAAAGUUUGUUUGUCUUGUAUUGUGUAAAGGGUCGCUGUAAUUGGCGAAAGCUGUAGCGUAUACCCAGCCAUGUCAAUGUAUGUAUAUCGUUUAUGUUAAUGUAUGUAUAGCAAGUGAUUUUAAGUUGAUUUGGCAAAGCCUAAUAAAUAAAUAAAUAAAUAAAUAAAUGUAAACGAACCUUAAUACAAGCAGCUAUUGUUUUCAUAAUAAUUUAGUAAUAUUAAAAGUAUCACAAUAUUUUGUGAAUCGAAAGGUGUGUGAAAAUUCAAAUACACUAAUUGUGCACGGUACAGGUGGCGUGGUGAUUACCUGCAUUCCAUAUACUGCCAAAAGUGUACAUAAACAACCUAAAACCACAAUAAUUUGUUAUGUUUUCUCUCUUGUAUGUUUGAAGGAAAGUCUGAGCACGCGCUUUGAGCAUAAGACAACACA
rnacentral:lncRNA from 1 species